GGUAUAUUUCAUAAUUUUAAAAAGUUUGGAGGGUUUAAGUUAUACACUUAAGUCCUUGUGACUUGUAAAUAAAAUAUACAAUGCCCCUCUCUCUUUCUCCUAAAAUAUGCAUAAGUCCCCUUCUCUCUCUUCACUGUUUUUUCUAUCAAGAGUAAUUUCUCCAGACGAUUUUUCUUCUCUCUCCCAGAAGCUCUCCAAUCGUUGUCCUCAAAAAAACAGGCAAAAAGUCCCUAUUUGAGGAUGGUUCAGAUACAACCGCCACGUCCUCGUUCAGGAUGGUUCAGAUACAGUUGAGAGUGAUGGUUCUUAUAUCGUGGUUCAACAUCUGUAUUGUUUAUAUAUAGAUCGUAUAAAUGCCUAGGUGUAGAGGGAGAAAAGGCAAAAUACUCCACCGUUCUGGUGAUAUGGUUCAAACCCGUUCUACUGGGGAUCGUAAGGAUAAAAAAAAAAAAAAGAGGUGAAGAAGUUAGCCGAGAUGUAAAAAGAAAAAGAAAUGCAGAAGCUGAGAGUGAGUCCUAAUCAGAUCCCGUUGAUGAGUGCAGUGUUGAUGGUGAUGAAGGAGAUAGAGUUGAUAGUAGAGUUGAGAAUGAUGGUUAUGUAUCUGAGAAUGAAGGUAUUUGAUCAAGAAAGAUAAUGGAGGAGUUUGAUCAAGAAAAGAAAAGAGACAAUGGAGGAGUUUGUUCAAGAAAAAAGACAAUGGAGGAGUUUGAACUUUUGGACGGUUUUAUAUAAGGAAGGAUGUAUUGUUAAGGUUGUAAAUUUAAGAAUUUUUGUUUUAUUACCGUUGUAGAGAAAUUUGUGGUCCGUCAGUCGAAAUAAAGCCAAAUGUGUUGGGUCAAUUAUAAGCCAACCGGAAAUAAACCAUCUUAGUUUAUAAUAACUCACUGCUUCGGACAAUUUUAGACCAUUUUGGUCAAUGAUAAACCAGAGAAAUAAAGGCGACUGUUAGAAUGAAAAGCAUGCUGAAAUUGCACUAGUCUAAUUGGGAAAAAAAAAAAAAAGCCCAAAACCCAAACCACCUUUUCUCAAGGUGUGGUAUUAGCACUUAGUGCUCAAUUUGUUGAGGGAUUGACAAUAAAUGGAAAAUGUAUGGAUUUCAUUAGAGACUGGUUUGAAUGUGCAGUAGCUGGAAAUAUGAAAAUUGAUGGACAGCACCAAGUUUGCUGUGCACACAUUGGCAUCAGGAGGAGUAGACUUCAUAGUUACUACUACUGGUGUCAUGUUUUGGAUACUAAAACUUGGGACACUAGGACUGCAGGGCUGAUUUAUAGCUGUAUCACUGGUGUCUGUUUGUUCUUUUUUGCAGAUCUUGAUGGAAACCGUAUAAGGGCUACAGAUACUAUUGCUUCUACUUGUGCCAAUGAUCUUACUCAUACAGGAAAUGAUUUGGUGCAGGAUUUCUACAAGUCUGAGUAUGCUUAUGCAGGGCAAGAUUUGAUGACAUGCUUCAGAUGCAGACUUUUAGUUUCAGCAGCUGCAUCAGUAAAGGAAAUGCUCCAUGAUUUCUUUGAGGUGCAGUCUUGUGAAAAGUGGUUCUGGUGUAUUUAGGAGGAGCUGCUUUAUGCAGUCUGGUUUUCUGAUUUUACAUGGAACCACAUAGUCACCAGAAAUGAAAGAAAUCUGCCUAAUACUUGUGCCACUGAUUUUUUUGCAAUUGUCACUUGGCACAUAUCUGCAAACAUAUCAAGGUUUUGGAUAUACAGCAGGCUAAAAUUCAUCAUAGAGUGUUGCAGCUGGUUUUUGCAGGAUAUCAGCACUUACACAUUGGUUUAUAAUAGUGGAACUGCUAUUUGGCAAGAUUGGAUCUGAACUCUACAAUUAUGCAGGCCAUUUGUUGGAGUCAUUUUUGCAGUGCAAUCUAGUGGCUUUAUGGCACAAUGGAGAGCAGCAUGGGAUGCAGGUUUCAACUAUGAGUUUCAACAUUACACCAGCUGUGCAGUGUGAUGCUAUAUACACAUGCUAUGCAGCUGAUCUACAGGAGUAUACACUCCAGGAUCAAGCGUUUGAUUUGGUUCAGGAUAGUGCUGCAGGAUGGAGUCUUAUCAGUGCUUACAAGGUUACAAAUUAGUGGGAGAGGCAGCAUACUCUACAGGCAAAUGGAUGAUCAAGAUUUAUUACUCACUUUUGAUACUUUACUAGUUUGUUAAUUCAUUACUUAGCUAUUUGUAGCACCAACUUAGGAUCGUCUAUAAGUCUUAAGUUGGUCAUUAGCUUAAUUCUUGCAUUUUAUUAGGCAUUUUGGCUACACUUGUAAAGACUUUAUUUGUUUUGCUUCGAGAAUAAUAUAUAAAAUCAGCCCUAGGCUCAUAGCCUAGUGAACUUUUUUUCUUUU